UUUUUCUCUAAUUCUUUAAAGAACAUUGACAAGAAACUAAAACACAGGGCUUUCGAUAACAGUUGGUGUAUGCCAGUACUAUUUCUAGGAUAUAACGUCCCUAUUGCUGAUCGUCAAACAAUUCUAUAUAAAAAGACAAAAAAAGUGCAUUGGAGAUUCCAACUUCGUUUUAUUUACUGAAAAUAAAUUAACCCUAGCAUAAACUAGAGUUUUUUAUUUAAUUAAAAUAAAUAAAUAAAACUUUGAAUGUAUACUGGAGGACCCUGAAAACAGCCCCCCACAAUCAGAAAAACAGCGAAUAAAUAAUAAUCAAAUCUCAAGCAAACCAGAUAGUCCAAAUCAUUUAGUGGUGGGAUAGAGUAACUCGAACUAGAAAGCAGAAAGAUUGAAAUGGACACAAUUACCCAAAAAGCAAGCACAGAGAUGGCAUUAGCAAAAAGGAAGCUCACAUUGCAAUCUUUAUCAAGGCGAGACCUGAGAUACGGAAGCAGCUUCUUCCAUUCCUUGCCCGUUGUCCCAUUAGCUCCUCGAGGGUUGACGACGAAGACAAGAUCGCGACGGGAAGGAGAGGAAGAAGAGGAACCGCCUUG
rnacentral:misc_RNA from 1 species